CCCGCCACUGCACCUGACCACUUCCCCGUUGGCUGGUGCAAUCCAGUGGUGAGCUGACAGUGACCCCAGCUAAGGAAACAGGGCUGUUCUUGGUGUGGGCGGCCCUGUGCCGAGAGCAUGGGCACAGCC